rnacentral:rRNA from 1 species
GGAUUAGUACGCUGGUCGUGCCUUCGGUACGUACUGGUGUUACUGAUUCCUACCUUCUGACGAACCAUCAUGUCAUUAAUUUGGUGUGGCGGGGAAUCAGGACUGUUACUUUGAAAAAAUUAGAGUGUUUAAAGCAGGCUCGCGCUUGAAUACAUUAGCAUGGAAUAAUGAGAUAGGACGUUGAUCCUAUUUUGUUGGUUUCUAGGAUUGACGUAAUGAUUAAUAGGGAUAGUUGGGGGCAUUAGUAUUCAAUUGUCAGAGGUGAAAUUCUUGGAUUUAUUGAAGACUAACUACUGCGAAAGCAUUUGCCAAGGAUGUUUUCAUUAAUCAAGAACGAAAGUUAGGGGAUCGAAGACGAUCAGAUACCGUCGUAGUCUUAACCAUAAACUAUGCCGACUAGGGAUCGGAUGAUGUUAUUUUUAAUGACUCAUUCGGCGCCUUACGGGAAACCAAAGUGUUUGGGUUCCGGGGGGAGUAUGGUCGCAAGGCUGAAACUUAAAGGAAUUGACGGAAGGGCACCACCAGGGGUGGAGCCUGCGGCUUAAUUUGACUCAACACGGGGAAACUCACCAGGUCCAGACAUAGUUAGGAUUGACAGAUUGAGAGC